UCUCCAUUAACUGAAGCAGUUUGCUGUGACACAUAUAACACAGCAUGAGGGUUGCGCUCGUUAACCGACUGAACGGGACACUUCACAGCACGAGCUGACGACAACCGUGCAACACCUGUCACCGAGUUCCUUGCGGCACAGCCCUAUUUCUAGGGCCUCCUCGGGAUGUCAAGCCUGGGUAAGGUUCUUCGCUUAGUGUCGAAUUAAACCACACGCUCCACCACUUGUGCGGGUCCCCGUCAAUUCCUUUGAGUUUUAAACUUGCGUUCGUACUCCCCAGGCGGCACACUUAACGCGUUAGCUUCGGUCCAAAGAGGGGUCGAUACCUCCCAAGACCUAGUGUGCAUCGUUUACAGCGUGGACUAC
rnacentral:misc_RNA from 1 species